UAAGGUUAAGUUAAUAAGGGCGCACGGUGGAUGCCUUGGCACUAGGAGCCGAAGAAGGACGUGACAAACGACGAUAUGCCUUGGGUAGCUGUAAGUAAGCGAUGAUCCAGGGAUUUCCGAAUGGGGGAACCCAACAGGUACUACCUGUUACCCAUAUCUGUUAAGGAUGUGAGGAGGAAGACGCAGUGAACUGAAACAUCUAAGUAGCUGCAGGAAGAGAAAGCAAAAGCGAUUGCCUUAGUAGCGGCGAGCGAAACGGCAGGAGGGCAAACCGAAGAGUUUACUCUUCGGGGUUGUAGGACUGCAAUGUGGACUCAAAGAUUAUAGAAGAAUGAUUUGGGAAGAUCAGCCAAAGAGAGUAAUAGCCUCGUAUUUAAAAUAGUCUUUGUACCUAGCAGUAUCCUGAGUACGGCGGGACACGUGAAAUCCCGUCGGAAUCUGGGAGGACCAUCUCCCAACCCUAAAUACUCCCUAGUGACCGAUAGUGAACCAGUACCGUGAGGGAAAGGUGAAAAGCACCCCGGGAGGGGAGUGAAAUAGAACCUGAAACCGUGUGCCUACAACAAGUUCGAGCCCGUUAAUGGGUGAGAGCGUGCCUUUUGUAGAAUGAACCGGCGAGUUACGUUAUGAUGCGAGGUUAAGUUGAAGAGACGGAGCCGUAGGGAAACCGAGUCUGAAUAGGGCGCCUUAGUAUCAUGACGUAGACCCGAAACCAUGUGACCUACCCAUGAGCAGGUUGAAGGUGCGGUAAGACGCACUGGAGGACCGAACCAGGGCACGUUGAAAAGUGCUUGGAUGACUUGUGGGUAGCGGAGAAAUUCCAAACGAACUUGGAGAUAGCUGGUUCUCUCCGAAAUAGCUUUAGGGCUAGCGUCGACAUUAAGAUUCUUGGAGGUAGAGCACUGUUUGGGUGAGGGGUCCAUCCCGGAUUACCAAUCUCAGAUAAACUCCGAAUGCCAAUGAAUUAUGGUCGGCAGUCAGACUGCGAGUGCUAAGAUCCGUAGUCGAAAGGGAAACAGCCCAGACCACCAGCUAAGGUCCCAAAAUAAUUGUUAAGUGGAAAAGGAUGUGGGGUUGCACAGACAACUAGGAUGUUAGCUUAGAAGCAGCUAUUCAUUCAAAGAGUGCGUAAUAGCUCACUAGUCGAGUGACCCUGCGCCGAAAAUGUACCGGGGCUAAAACAAUUUACCGAAGCUGUGGAUACCUUUAUAGGUAUGGUAGGAGAGCGUUCUAUGUGUGAAGAAGGUGUACCGUGAGGAGUGCUGGAACGCAUAGAAGUGAGAAUGCCGGUAUGAGUAGCGAAAGACAGGUGAGAAUCCUGUCCACCGUAAGACUAAGGUUUCCAGGGGAAGGCUCGUCCGCCCUGGGUUAGUCGGGACCUAAGGAGAGACCGAAAGGUGUAUCCGAUGGACAACAGGUUGAUAUUCCUGUACUAGAGUAUGUAGUGAUGGAGGGACGCAGUAGGCUAACUAAAGCAGACGAUUGGAAGUGUCUGUCUAAGCAGUGAGGUGUGAACUGAGUUAAAUGCUUAGUUCUAUAACAUUGAGCUGUGAUGGGGAGCGAAGUUUAGUAGCGAAGUUAGUGACGUCACACUGCCAAGAAAAGCUUCUAGCGUUUAAACAUACUCUACCCGUACCGCAAACCGACACAGGUAGUCGAGGCGAGUAGCCUCAGGUGAGCGAGAGAACUCUCGUUAAGGAACUCGGCAAAAUGACCCCGUAACUUCGGGAGAAGGGGUGCUGACUUUAAGUCAGCCGCAGUGAAUAGGCCCAAGCAACUGUUUAUCAAAAACACAGCUCUCUGCUAAAUCGUAAGAUGAUGUAUAGGGGGUGACGCCUGCCCGGUGCUGGAAGGUUAAGAGGAGUGCUUAGCGCAAGCGAAGGUAUGAAUUGAAGCCCCAGUAAACGGCGGCCGUAACUAUAACGGUCCUAAGGUAGCGAAAUUCCUUGUCGGGUAAGUUCC
rnacentral:rRNA from 1 species